rnacentral:snoRNA from 1 species
GAACUAGCCAGUCUGUUGGCAAUGGCUUAGUUUUCUUUUGAGAGGAGGAAAUAUUGAUGAAGAAAAUCUCCGUGCUCUUACGAUUCUCAAUUCGUAAUGUGCCUCAAACAUUUUUCUACAUU